GCUCACAAAUGUCUACAUAUGUAUGUAUGAAUAAAAAGAAGAAAAUGAAGAAGAAGAAGAAGAAGAAGAGGAUGUCCCAUAUUUGUUGUCGCUCAAUC
rnacentral:ribozyme from 12 species